rnacentral:rRNA from 1 species
CCGUAGGUGAACCUGCGGAAGGAUCAUUAAUU